UACAGAGGUCUCAAGCGUUGUUCGGAUUCAUUGGGCGUAAAGGGUGCGUAGGCGGCGCGGUAAGUCGGGUGUGAAAUCUCGGAGCUUAACUCCGAAACUGCAUUCGAUACUGCCGAUGCUUGAGGACUGGAGAGGAGACUGGAAUUUACGGUGUAGCGGUGAAAUGCGUAGAUAUCGUAAGGAAGACCAGUGGCGAAGGCGG
rnacentral:rRNA from 1 species